rnacentral:rRNA from 1 species
UACGAAGGGGGCUAGCGUUGUUCGGAAUUACUGGGCGUAAAGCGUGCGCAGGCGGCUUCUCAAGUCAGGGGUGAAAGCCCAGAGCUCAACUCUGGAAUUGCCUUUGAGACUGAGUGGCUUGAGUACGGGAGAGGUGAGUGGAAUUCCCAGUGUAGAGGUGAAAUUCGUAGAUAUUGGGAAGAACACCGGUGGCGAAGGCGGCUCACUGGCUCGUAACUGACGCUCAUGCACGAAAGCGUGGGGAUCAAACAGG